GACGAACGCUGGCGGCGUGCCUAAUACAUGCAAGUCGAGCGGACACCUUCGGGUGUUAGCGGCGGACGGGUGAGUAACACGUGGGCAAUCUGCCCACCAGACUGGAAUAACACUCGGAAACGAGUGCUAAUGCCGGAUAAUCCUCGAGAGGGGCAUCCUUUUGAGGUAAAAGAUGCAACUGCAUCACUGGUGGAGGAGCCCGCGGCGCAUUAGCUAGUUGGUGAGGUAACGGCUCACCAAGGCGACGAUGCGUAGCCGACCUGAGAGGGUGACCGGCCACACUGGGACUGAGACACGGCCCAGACUCCUACGGGAGGCAGCAGUAGGGAAUCUUCCGCAAUGGGCGCAAGCCUGACGGAGCAACGCCGCGUGAGCGAUGAAGGCCUUCGGGUUGUAAAGCUCUGUUGCUCGGGGAGAGCGAUAAGGAGAGUGGAAAACUCCUUAAGAGACGGUACCGAGUGAGGAAGCCCCGGCUAACUACGUG
rnacentral:rRNA from 1 species